rnacentral:rRNA from 1 species
CGUCUACAUUAGAUACCCGCGUAGUCCUAGCCGUAAACGAUACUCGCUAGGUGUCGGCCACGGUGCGACCGUUGUCGGUGCCGUAGGGAAGCCGUGAAGCGAGCCACCUGGGAAGUACGGCCGCAAUGCUGAAACUUAAAGGAAUUGGCGGGGGAGCACAACAACGGGUGGAGCUUGCGGUUUAAUUGGAUUCAACGCCGGAAAUCUUACCGGGACCGACAGCAACAUGAAGGCCAAGCUGAAGACUUUGCCGGAUUAGCUG